rnacentral:tRNA from 1 species
GCACCCGUAGCUCAGUUGGAUAGAGCGUCGGUCUACGGAACCGAAGGUCGAACGUUCGAGUCGUUCCGGGUGCA